AUUUGUCCUCGCCCCUCCCCGUCCCUCUACGCGUUUUGGUCCCUGUUUGGUGCUUUCUGUUUGCAGCUACGGCAGUGAGUAUGUAUGUGACGGACCCCGAGUCACCCGCGGCCUGGGACCCCUGCCUACCCUCCGUCUCGCCAGCCGAGCUGUGGAACUAGCGCGUGCCCCCUCGCCGACCUCGGCGUCUCCGGUCCGCCCCUCACUUGUGGUGGGGCGCAGCUCCUGGUCCCUCAGCUGCGCGCCGCCCCACGCGGCCGGGCUGCGGGUCUAGGGGGUCCGCAUCUCCCUGGCUUUCCAAGGGCUAAGGUCGUGAUUCUAGGGCGGCUGGGCGUCCAGGGCCUCGGUGGGGGUGGCGUGUCUGCCCUUUUUAUCUCCCCGCAAGGCCCCCAGUCUUCUAGGGAAGCCAGUCAGUGAAGCGCGGAGGUCCGGGCGCGCCGAGAGAGAGUCCAGUCUUUGAGGACCGAGUAGUCCUGGGCCACCUCCCGCCUCUGCUGUCAGAAGCAGCAGCUGCCGCCGUGGAAUCCAAAAUUUCGGGAGCUGUGACCCUUUCCUCAUGUAAAACGAGUAGUCUUGGACGGUGAGCGGACAGUUGCCUUCAACUUUUGGGAAGAGCUGCCGGUUCGGUGGAAAAGCUGUGGCUGGGAAUCAGGAGGCCUGGGUUCUAGCCGUGGCUCCCCCACGGACUCGCUGGCGAUUCCAGAAAGCUCUUAUUGAGGCUGAAUUUAAGAUUAUAUCAGAUUACACAGUUGAAUUAGGGGCUCCAUUAGUAGGGCCCUUUUAGCUCAGUGAAUAAGUUUCUCCAACUAUAAAACGAGAGCGUUCAAUUUGAUGACUUUUCAGGUCCCCUCAGAAGCUCUUGACUUUGUGGUUUUCUUUUUCUUUUAAAAAAUUUUUUCUAGGACCGUUAGAGAAAUGACUUCGUGUUUGAAUAGUUAGGCUGUCGCAUACAAAGACUUUUAAAUGGAUUGUGUGUAUACUUAGGAAGGCAUUAUGCUUUCAAGAGAAUCUGAGGAUGGGGAAUAAAGUCAGGAAGGAUCGCAAGUGAGGAUUAUAUUAAUAUGAUAAUUAGCACGGUAAGAGACUGCAUGACCGAAGGAAAAGGGCUAAGGGAAAGGUGAAGGAAAUGUUUCCGGAUAGGAUUAGUUCUCAUAAAAAUCAUAUAUAUAUCCCAAGAAGAGCUGGGACUUAUGUGACUAAAUUUAGCUUAUUUUUUUUCCCCCACUGAAAUACUGUGCUCUGCCUCUGUUUUGUGACCUUUGUUUUACACAUUUGGUUUCUCCACUCCAAUCUCAGAUUUGAUUCAGAGUGGCCGUGGCAUUUGAAAAAUGGACAUUUUAACCCCUUAGUCAAUUGUGUUUCACCUGUCACUAUCAGGAUAGCUCAUUAAUAGUAAGAAAGAAAUUUUACGUUGAAAGUAAAGUGUGUUCAGCAUAUUGCAGUGAAAUUUGGACUGAAAAUGAGGCUGUGGAUUUGAUUUAAAUCGGCCCGAGAUAGAUUCCUAUGUCGUCAAGAAGGAACAUCUAGGGAGGCUAAAGGUGCUUUGGAAGUAAAUAAGAGCAAAAGGUCAGAAUGACCAGUAGGUAGGCUGUGAGACCAGAAAGAUUGAUUAAAGACCGGGCGCGGUGGCUGACGCCUGUAAAUCUCAGCACUUUGGGAGGCCGAGGCGGGCGGAUCACCUGAGGUCAGGAGUUCGAGACCAUCCUGACCAAAAUGGAGAAACCCCGUCUCUACUAAAUAUACAAAAAUUAGCCGGCGUGGUGGCGCAUGCCUGUACUCCCAGUUACUCGGGAGGCUGAAGCCGGAGAAUUGCUUGAACCCGGGAGGCAGAGGUUGCGGUGAGCCGAGAUCGCGCCAUUGCACUGCAGCCUGGGCAACAAGAGCGAAACUCCAUCUCAAAAAACAUAAAGUAAAUUCUGAAAGCUUAAAUAAGCCUUAAGUUGUCUAGUUUAAAACAAUUCAGUCAAUGAAUACUACUCCCUCUUUUGAAUGGGAAGAGCCUUUGCAGUUAUUCUAUAGCUGUUUUAUAUUUGUUAAGCUAUUUUGAUUCUUAGAUAAGUUUCAUUUCCAUUUCCAUGAUAUUUUAGGAUCUUAUAUAAGAAAUAUCUUUUCUGGUCACGGGAUUGAUAAAGUCUUUGAGUACUAACUUGGGAGAUUCUUGGAUGAUAAACUGACAAAUGUGUGUUUUUCUUCCAACGAAAAUGUCUCAUUCAUAGUUGUUAAACUCUGCUGGGAGGUAAAAUGGAUAUUUGUGAGGUAAACUUAGGUGUUAGAACCAAUGCAAAUACUUCAAUGAAGGAAGGUGUUUUUUUACUUUGAAAUUACUUAUUUGGAAAUUUUAUUUAAAAAUUUUAGUGGACAGUUGGCUGAGAAUCACAGAAACGUGAAUCACUUCUAGCUGUGUUCUUAACCAGCUGCAUAACCUUGGAUAGGCCUCCUAUCUCUUUGUACUUCAGUUUCCUGUGGGUAGAUUGAGUAGUCUGUAUGAGAUAAUCUGAUUUUGUUAUCUAGUUAGUAUACUUGGGAGUCAACGUACAGGGAUCAAAAAGCUGAGAAAGCCUUCUGAGUCAAGGGUUUGUUUGUGUGUAUGUAAAAAAACAUAUAUAUUGUCCUCUGAGAAUACUCUUUUUUAAAAAAGUUAUUAAAUUCAUUUGAAUGUAAUUAAAGCGGUAACAUAAACCACAACAGCCUCAGGCAGACUUUAACCCUGGCAUACAUAAGCUACCUAAAUAAGAGAGCAGGUUAUGCCCAGCACAAUUUUCAAGUACAGACGGUACAAAAUCCUCUUAAAGGCCAUAGGGGCUAAAUUGUUAAAUUCAUUUUUCUACAUUUUAGAGAAAGAGAUAAAUCCUUCGACCCAGGGAAGUCAGUUUUUAUUAUGGUUCUGUAGUUUAUUUUUGGCAUACAUUCACAGGUGUGCCUAUGGCUCUAUUCUUAAUCCCUUUCCUUUGGGAUGGCUGCAAGAGUAGUACAAAUUUGUAACUGUAAUUUAGCUCUUUAAUUUUUUUCUGUGCUGCACUGGAAUUAUGUUUUAUCUUAAGUCCACACUGGAUCCUCAGGAUGGAUCCAGUGAGGAUUUUGAAAGAAGCAUAAUUCCUUUGACUUCUUUUAGAAUUAAUUUACCUAUUAAAUAAAAAGGAAAGGAUUCAUCUUUUAUUUGAAUUCCUCUGAGGCUAACAAUUCAAUAUAAACUGAUGAAUGCUAUGAGCAUUAUUCAGACAAUCACAUUCAAUUUGUGUGACAAUAACAGCAUAGCCACCUGAAGGACAGUACAACAAGGGCACAGGUAUAUGAUACCUUUUAGAAGAAAAGCAUUAACAGGUGGGUUUAUUUAUUUCUGGAAAACAAAAAACUCCAGCAAGAAUGUAGUACAUUUUUGGCUCUUGUCCAUUUGGUUCUUGGGAUUAAGCUGGUUCUAUUACCAGAACUAGCAUCACAACACCCUGACAUUUUGGGCAGAAAUUUGAGUGGCUAAGAAAACAACUAUUUUUAACUUUAUGUGUAUAGCUACAAGUGGAAAAAAGAAUAAAUUGGCAUUGUUAUUGCUGUCUGGGCUGUCCUUGAUUUUUGGACACAAGCUUAUUUUUCCAGAGCUCUCAUUUUAGUCAGUAGUCCAUCAGUACCUAAUGGAAACAUCUACUGUGUAGAUAUGAGAAUUUCUAAGACUUUGGAGUAGUUGAAAGACAGCAGAGAAAUUUAUCCUAUCAUAAUUUCUGUAUUUUAAGCACAUACUAGAUUUAUCAGGGCUGAAGGACAAAUGGCCUGGUGUUAUAAUUCAUUUAUAAAUUCAACAGAUACUUAUAGAUGGCCCCCAAAAUACCAGUUACCCUGCUUGGCUUUGGUGAUUCAUUGUUUAGCAGAGUGUAUAUAGUUCCUGCCCCUCCUGUGGUUUGUGAUCUGUGCUUCUGGGAGAUUUACAUUGAAUAAAUAAUUAGAAAUGUGAUGAGUGUUUUGAAAUGUAAAGUGCUAUGAAAGCCUAUAAAAGGGGCAUUUAAUUUAAUCUGGUGGGAAGUGAUUUUGAGCCAAGUUUAAAAGAUGAAGGCUGAGAAGGAUUUAAUAUGCUCACAGUACUAAGUGUUUCACUUUAUGCAUUUAUUCCCAAAGUUGGGAGUUUUCUCUCAAUUUUAGGUCUUUAUUACGUUUGUAUUUUAUACACAGUUUUAUAACAAGCACAGGAAUAAACAGGUUUAUCAGGGUUUUUUUGGUUUUUUUUUGGAAUUGGGGUUUUGUUCUGUCACCCAGGCUGGAGUGUAGUGGCGUGAUCAUAGCUCACUGUCAACUUUGAACACUUGGGCUCAAGCUAUCCUCCCUCAGCCUCCCAAGGUGGGAGGUACAGAUCUGGGCAUAGGAACCAAUCAGAAACAAUCGCUUCAGCAAUCAAGACCAUUGUUCAUCAUGGAGGAACCCAUGGAUACCUCUGAGCCUCUAUCUGCAUUACCAUUCACUGGGCAGCAGUCUUUUGAGCCAAGUGGCAAAUUUGGACAGUAUCCAUCGAUGCAGAUGAACCACAUCCAGGCACUGGGGAAGUGGAGGACAUAGAACAGCUCAAUCAGUGUUUGAUCCAACACUUCCAUCUCAUUAAGACAAGUUUGAUUUUUCUUUGCUUUUUAUUUCAUGGAAUACAUGAGAAUCUCUUAACUGUUGGAGUUUCCAAGGAGGCAUACCUCAUGACUUCAGUUAAUGGAAAGAACAAAACUAAAAUGCUGUAUGGCCAAAGCCACAAAGGGAAGGAUCCACAAUUUACAUUCUUGGAGCUAUCAUCUGUACUGUACUGUUGUGAUCUACUGAUUGGCAUUGGCAUAGUAGUAGGGGUCAAGUGACAGAAUCCGUGCCAGCAGUCUCCAGGUUCAGAAGCAAUUCAAGACCCUGAUGAUAGCUCUCCAGCAACCAACACAUGGUGAUUGUGCCAACUUGUUGCUCAGUUAUAAUGCAGGGCCAGUGAUUGGUUUAAGUGAAGACCAUGGUUGAGAUCAUUUGUCUUUGGUCUAAUAGAAUUUGAGUCUAGUAGAAUUUGAGUCUCCAGGGAAAGAGCUACUUGACCAAAUUAAACUAGUAGCAGGUAGAGCAUGAAUGACAGCAUAUUAUACCAUCAAGAUGUUCUUAGAGCAGUGUAUGGAUGGAUCGAUUGUACUGCCAUCAGUUGUGACUGACGUUGUAUUCAAGGAGAAAGAGAAACUUGUUUAGAAAGCACUUUGAAAGUUUUUUGAGUACGGGGGUGCCCUGUAUCACCCCGUUAUGGUUGAACUUUCUCCUUCAAAAUUACCAGACUUGGCAGCAGUGGCAAAUUAUUGGGCUAAAAGACUUAAUCAGACAUAUUCUGGGUUCAAGGCUCCUAAUAUAAUACCUGGUGCAAACAUUAUACUUCCACUCAUUCAGAUGGUUGCAUCCUGCCAGGCAUCCAGUGGGACUGGGAAUAUGGACACUUGAACAUUAAACAUCCUGAAGAAUUUUGGAAUGACAGGUUACAAGUGAACAUAAUCAGUUCUCUAUAUUAAAAAAAAAAAAAGAUUUGGGCAUAGAUUGGGCUCACAUAAUCUUUAGAGAGAUUUUUUCAUUUUUGUGAAAGUACAGAAAUUCUUAACUGCUUAUGAAAUGCUGAUUGUUAAACAGCAUCCACAGCUAUUUUGUGUUGUUUCCCUGACCCCACCCUGAAGAAAAGAAAAAUUAUGGCAUAUUGAAAACAGCAGUAUGAUGUAAGAGAAAAGAUCACAAAUUCCUUGAGGGUGGGUCUUUUCCAUACUCAUAAGCCUAUUUAUAAUAUUCAGAGUAAUUUAUUGACACAUAUUAAUAUUCCCUCCUAUCCCAUUAAUUGCCAAAUCAUCAAACAUUUAUUGAGCACCUACUCUGUGUAGGGUGUAAGCAGUACUGGGGACUUACAGUGAUAAAAGACAUAGUUUUAGCCUUAAGUGAUGUACUGUUUCACUGAAGAGAUGGAAUAUAAGAAGCCAAGUAAUUUAUGGAAUUCUCUUCUUUGUUUUUCUUUUUUUUUUUUGGCAGUGGAGUCUUGCUCUUUAAAUAGAGCAAGGCUAGUCUGGAACUCCUGGGCUCAUGUGGUCCUCCCGCCUUAGCUUUCAGUGUAGCUGGGACUACAGGUGUGAACACAGCUUGGAAAUCUCUUAACCAUGGGAGUUAAGUCUCAAAAUUCUGGUGAUACAAGUGGUUGAAACUUAAAACUGUAUUUAAAAAAUAGGAUUCGUGAAUUUGAGAUAGUUCAUAAGUCUGCAAAAGGCUGUAUAAAUACAUAUUUUACAUUUACUAUUAUUAAUUUUGUAGUAAAUUUGAGUACAGCACUCUCUUUAUCUGUGGAAACUUCAGACUCUCCCCUAUUACUUUAAUUUCAGUGAGACAUUAUUAAAUAUAAGUGGGCUUACACAUUUGUUUUGCUUUACUGACAAAUAAUACACAACUUGGAGGCUUUUUUUUCCUUUCUAUUCUUCCUCUAAAUGUUCAACACUUUUCUGAUUUUGUGAUUUGAGGUUGUUUAAUAGCUUCCUGAGGCUCCAUUGAGACCGUAUAUACGUGACACUUAACAGUCUAGCCUUCCUCGGUACAUAUAGAUAUAUGAUGGUGGCUUUGCCUGUAGUAAAUUCAUGCCAAAACAUAGGCUUUCAGUGCCUAUUACAUAUGGCUUUCAGCUCUCUCUACUGAGGGAUGUAGGAGUUUAUUUCUGAGGUCUGAGCCUCUUUUCCUUUACUUCCUUUACUCUUUCCUAAGCCUUCUUUAUAAAAACUAUGCAUGUUCUAUUGUUUUCCUUUUUGAUUCCCUUUCUUUUAUUAUCCCCAGUAGGAGUGACUUGUAAUUCUCAUAUGUUAGAAAGGCAGAUCUCCUGGUUGAAGAAAAGAUCCACCCAAGCAAGUCAGCAUGUUUAAUAAUUUUUGAGGGGGAUCUCAAAUGUGGGAAGGAUUGUUAUAUAAGACAACCAAAUGAUGACAUGAGACAAUAAAUGCUAUAGGAAUUAUGGAGGAAUAAUUAGCUAUUUAUUUUCUUGGUUAGGGAAGAGAUAUUAUUAGUUGUAGAAGUAAUUACUAACUUCUACAUUUUUUAUUGUGGAAAUCAAAAAUAUAUAUAUGAAAAUAAAAUGUUAUAAUUGACUUCAGUGUCCCAUAAACCAGCUUCAACAAUUACCAAAUUGUGACCAAUCUUUACACACAUGCACAGGUGUCCCUCAGUAUCUGUGGGGCAUUGGUUCUAGGACCACUUAUGGAUACCAACAUCUAUGGAUGCUCAAGUCCCUGAUAUAAAAUGGUGGACUAUUUGCAUAUAACCUGUGUACAUCCCGUAUUAUUUAAAUCAUCCCUAGAUCACUUAUAAUACGUAAUACAAUGUAAAUGCCAUGUAAAUAACUGUUAUACUGUAUUAAGGAAUAACAACAAGAAAAAUGUACAUGUUCAGUACAGACGCAAUUUUUUUUGUGUGUGGAAUAUUUUCAUUCCAAGGUCAGUUGAACCCAUGGACAUAGGAGGCUGACUGUGUGUGUGUGUGUGUGUGUGUGUGUGUGUGUGUGCAUACAGACACACAUAUUUCUGAAAUGUAAAUAUUCUCUUCUUAAAAAAAUUAUUAUCACAGCUAAACAAAUUACCAGUAAUUCUUUUAUCCUCAUAUACCCGGUGUUCAGAUUUUCUAGAUUGGCUCCUAAUUUUUUUACAGAUUAUUUGAAUCUGAUUCAAUUCAUGUACUGUAAUGUUUGAUAACUUAAGUACCCUUUAUAGGUUCUCUUUUACCUCUUCUUUAUUAAAUUCCUUGUAAUUUGUUGUACUAAAUAGAUUGUCUUCUAGAAUUUCCUGUAGUCUGAAUUAUGUAGUAUUGUUUCACAUGUUCCAGUGUCCUCUUAUUUCCUGUGAGUUGGUAGUUAGAUCUAGAAGCUUGAUUAAAUUCAGAUUUUCUCUCUUUAGAUCAUCAACUUUAGAUCAU
ensembl:lncRNA EBLN3P endogenous Bornavirus like nucleoprotein 3, pseudogene